rnacentral:rRNA from 1 species
AUGCAAGCUUCAUCGUGUCCUUUCCCCCGCAUGAUGCGGGCGCUGGCGCUACAAUGCCUCUCGGUGUGGCUCUGCUCGUGUGCGACGGCCGCGUGGCUGGCCGUGCAUGGCAGCAACGGCACGGCCGACGAGCUCAACCUCCUCUUGUUCAAGUCGGAGCUUUCGGAUCCGGCAGGUGCUCUGUCUUCAUGGAACACGUCCAAUCCCAUGUGCAAGUGGCGAGGAGUCACUUGCGGCCGUCGACACCCCGAGAGGGUCGUCGCGCUGAACCUCAACUCAUCCCACCUGGCAGGGGGGUGUAUCCCGCCGUUCUUGGGCAACCUUACCUUCCUCAGGACACUCAACCUUGGCGAGAACAGCUUUGGCGGGCAGGUGCCGCCGGAGCUUGGUCGGCUGAGCAGGCUGCAGGUGCUGAACCUCAGCCUGAAUGCCCUCCAAGGAAGCAUCCCGGCAGCUUUGGGAAGAUGCACUAAGCUGCGGAUCCUCAAUCUCAGGAAUAACCUCCUUCAAGGUGAGAUCCCUGCUCAGAUAGGCUCCUUGGAAAAUCUAGAGAUCCUCAACCUUUUCGCCAACGACUUGUCCGGGCAUAUUCCGCCGUCGAUAGCCAACUUGUCUUCGCUCCAAACACUCAACCUUGGGAACAACACUCUGUCAGGGGCCAUUCCUUCAUCUCUUGGUCGCAUGCCCCGCCUCUCUUUGCUUUCGGUCCAGUUUAACAAUCUUUCGGGACUCAUCCCUCCUCCAGUAUGGAACAUUUCUUCCUUGAAAGGCUUAUCAGUCGUGGGGAACGCGCUUCGUGGCACGAUACCUGCAGGCGCAUUCGCUAACCUCCCUCUUCUCCAGUUGUUCUACAUGAGCUACAACCAGUUUCAUGGCCAUGUCCCUGCCAUAUUGGCAAAUUCUUCCAAGCUGCAGAGAAUUGAGCUCGGGUACAAUUUCUUUAGUGGCACGGUUCCUCCAGAGGUUGGAGGCCUGCAGAAUCUUGAAUCGCUGGUUCUCUCAAACAAUCUGCUACAAGCUACGACUCCAAGUGGCUGGAACUUCAUGUCCACCUUAUCCAAUUGCUCCCAGUUACAAUAUCUGGACUUGGCCUCAAACGAAUUAGGAGGGACGCUUCCUUCGUCGAUCUCUAACCUGUCAACAUCGCUCGUAUAUCUGUCCCUCUCCCAUAACCGGAUACUAGGGAACAUACCUGAAAGAAUUGGAAAUCUUUUCCAGUUGCAGGUCCUAUCCCUUGAGAAUAAUCUUCUCACGGGAACUCUUCCAUCUUCUUUGAGCAUCCUUACCAACUUGGGAGAUCUGUCCCUGGGAAAGAACAACUUGAGUAGGAGCGUCCCAUUGACCAUCGGAAAUCUUACUCAGUUAAGCAACUUGUAUCUCGGGCACAAUACUUUCAGCGGUAGCAUACCAAGCACUGUGGGGAACUUGGCAUCCUUACUGAAUAUUGAUUUCUCAUCCAACAACUUGACAGGGAUAAUCCCCACUAGUUUAUUCAACAUCAGCACACUCUCUCUAGGUUUGGAUCUCUCCUAUAAUUGUUUGGAGGGGUCGAUACCGUCUGAAAUUGGAAAUCUAAAAAACCUUGUAGAAUUCCGAGCGGCGUCAAAUAGAUUAUCACAUGAAAUCCCUCCAACCCUUGGUGACUGCGAGAUUCUCCAAAACAUAUAUCUACAAAACAAUUUCCUGGAAGGUAGUAUUCCGCCACUCUUGAGCAGACUGAAGGGUUUAGAAAUCCUAGACCUCUCAAGCAACAAAUUAUCAGGCCAAAUACCAAAGUUUUUGGAAGACCUCAACACACUUCACUAUCUAAACGUCUCCUUCAAUAACUUCGUUGGUGAGGUGCCGUUUACCGGUAUCUUCACGAAUGCUACUACAGUUUCAGUGCAAGGUAAUGAUAAACUUUGUGGUGGAAUCCAGGAUCUUCACCUGCCCCCAUGUUCUUUCGAAUCGUCAAAGAAGAACAAACUUCCAUUGAAAACAAUCAUUAUUCCCCUAGUUGCGGUGUUGGGUGUCAUUUUCUUGGUCUUUUUCCUGCUUGCUUGGAACAAGCAAAGAUCAAAUGGUAACCCUUCGACUGCAACUAUCCAAGGGUACCCUUUGGUUUCUUACCUUACAUUGGUAAAAGCAACAAAUGGUUUCUCCACAGCAAACUUGUUGGGUAGUGGCACUUUUGGCUCUGUAUAUAAAGGAAACUUAGGCGGAGAUAGGGAUGACAGUGCCAAUAUUGUUGCUAUCAAAGUACUUAAACUCCAAACACCGGGUGCACUCAAAAGUUUCACAGUGGAAUGCGAAGCAAUCAGAAACACUCGACAUCGAAAUCUUGUCAAGAUAAUGACAUUGUGUUCAAGCAUUGAUUCCAAAGGGGACGACUUCAAAGCAAUUGUCUUUGAGUUCAUGCCUAAUGGAAGUUUAGAAGAUUGGUUGCAUCCAGACCAACAUGAGGAGAAGCAUUUGGAUCUCCUUAAAAGAGUAAGCAUACUACUGGAUGUGGGAUAUGCACUGGAUUAUCUUCACUCCUACGGCGCUGCACCAAUUGCUCACUGUGAUCUUAAGCCAAGCAAUGUACUUUUGGAUGAUGAUUUGGUAGCCCAUGUUGGUGACUUUGGACUUGCUAGGAUUCUUACCGAGGGAAACUCUUUUCCCCAAAGCUCAACAAGCUCAAUGGGAUUUAGAGGGACAAUUGGGUAUGCUGCUCCAGAAUAUGGUGCUGGAAAUGUGAUCUCUAUACAAGGAGAUGUGUACAGCUAUGGAAUUCUCAUCUUAGAAAUAGUAACUGGGAAGAGGCCCACCAACAGCAUGUUCAUACAAGGAUUAAAUCUCCACAAGUAUGCUGAAAUGGCCAUACAUAGUGGAGUAAUGGACGUUGUUGACAUGCGGCUUUUUUCCCACAUCGAGAAGGGGUCGCCGACCACAGAUGACUCUUCUACUUUUUCAAGAACGUAUGAUCCUUCUGAUGAGAGAAGGAUUGACUGCCUGACCUCACUUCUUAGAAUCGGAGUAUCUUGCUCCCAGGAAAUGCCCGUGAGUAGAAUGUUGAUCAAAGAUACUAUCAAAGAGUUGCAGGCUAUCAAAGAUUACCUCAUGUAG